rnacentral:rRNA from 1 species
CGAGAAAGGGACUUCGGUCCCGAGUAGAGUGGCGCACGGGUGAGUAACGCGUAGGUAAUCUACCUCUGCAUCUGGGAUAACACUUCGAAAGGGGUGCUAAUACCGGAUACACUUAUGGGUCGCAAGACCUAUAAGGAAAGGAGACCUCUCCUUGGAAGUUUCUGUGUAGAGAUGAGCCUGCGUCCCAUUAGCUAGUUGGCAGGGUAAUGGCCUACCAAGGCGACGAUGGGUAGCGGGUCUGAGAGGAUGAUCCGCCACACUGGAACUGAAACACGGACCAGACUCCUACGGGAGGCAGCAGUGAGGAAUAUUGGACAAUGGGCGCAAGCCUGAUCCAGCGACGCCGCGUGAGUGAUGAAGGCCUUUGGGUCGUAAAGCUCUGUCAGCAGGGAAGAACGGCCGUGUGGUUAAUACCCAUGCGGAUUGACGGUACCUGCAGAGGAAGCACCGGCUAAC